GGGUUGUGAGGUUAAGCGACUAAGCGUACACGGUGGAUGCCCUGGCAGUCAGAGGCGAUGAAGGACGUGCUAAUCUGCGAAAAGCGUCGGUAAGGUGAUAUGAACCGUUAUAACCGGCGAUGUCCGAAUGGGGAAACCCAGUGUGAUUCGUCACACUAUCGUUAACUGAAUACAUAGGUUAACGAGGCGAACCGGGGGAACUGAAACAUCUAAGUACCCCGAGGAAAAGAAAUCAACCGAGAUUCCCCCAGUAGCGGCGAGCGAACGGGGAGCAGCCCAGAGUCUGAAUCAGCUUGUGUGUUAGUGGAACGGUCUGGAAAGUCCGACGGUACAGGGUGAUAGUCCCGUACACCAAAAUGCACAGGCUGUGAACUCGAAGAGUAGGGCGGGACACGUGGUAUCCUGUCUGAAUAUGGGGGGACCAUCCUCCAAGGCUAAAUACUCCUGACUGACCGAUAGUGAACCAGUACCGUGAGGGAAAGGCGAAAAGAACCCCGGCGAGGGGAGUGAAAAAGAACCUGAAACCGUGUACGUACAAGCAGUGGGAGCACCUUCGGGUGUGACUGCGUACCUUUUGUAUAAUGGGUCAGCGACUUAUAUUCUGUAGCAAGGUUAACCGUAUAGGGGAGCCGCAGGGAAACCGAGUCUUAACUGGGCGUUAAGUUGCAGGGUAUAGACCCGAAACCCGGUGAUCUAGCCAUGGGCAGGUUGAAGGUUGGGUAACACUAACUGGAGGACCGAACCGACUAAUGUUGAAAAAUUAGCGGAUGACUUGUGGCUGGGGGUGAAAGGCCAAUCAAACCGGGAGAUAGCUGGUUCUCCCCGAAAGCUAUUUAGGUAGCGCCUCGUGAACUCAUCUUCGGGGGUAGAGCACUGUUUCGGCUAGGGGGUCAUCCCGACUUACCAACCCGAUGCAAACUACGAAUACCGAAGAAUGUUAUCACGGGAGACACACGGCGGGUGCUAACGUCCGUCGUGAAGAGGGAAACAACCCAGACCGCCAGCUAAGGUCCCAAAGUCAUGGUUAAGUGGGAAACGAUGUGGGAAGGCACAGACAGCCAGGAUGUUGGCUUAGAAGCAGCCAUCAUUUAAAGAAAGCGUAAUAGCUCACUGGUCGAGUCGGCCUGCGCGGAAGAUGUAACGGGGCUAAACCAUGCACCGAAGCUGCGGCAGCGACACUAUGUGUUGUUGGGUAGGGGAGCGUUCUGUAAGCCUGCGAAGGUGACCUGUGAGGGUUGCUGGAGGUAUCAGAAGUGCGAAUGCUGACAUAAGUAACGAUAAAGCGGGUGAAAAGCCCGCUCGCCGGAAGACCAAGGGUUCCUGUCCAACGUUAAUCGGGGCAGGGUGAGUCGACCCCUAAGGCGAGGCCGAAAGGCGUAGUCGAUGGGAAACAGGUUAAUAUUCCUGUACUUGGUGUUACUGCGAAGGGGGGACGGAGAAGGCUAUGUUAGCCGGGCGACGGUUGUCCCGGUUUAAGCAUGUAGGCUGGUUAUCCAGGCAAAUCCGGAUAAUCAAGGCUGAGGUGUGAUGACGAGGCACUACGGUGCUGAAGUAACAAAUGCCCUGCUUCCAGGAAAAGCCUCUAAGCAUCAGGUAACAUCAAAUCGUACCCCAAACCGACACAGGUGGUCAGGUAGAGAAUACCAAGGCGCUUGAGAGAACUCGGGUGAAGGAACUAGGCAAAAUGGUGCCGUAACUUCGGGAGAAGGCACGCUGGUGUGUAGGUGAAGCCCCUGCGGGUGGAGCUGAGACCAGUCGAAGAUACCAGCUGGCUGCAACUGUUUAUUAAAAACACAGCACUGUGCAAACACGAAAGUGGACGUAUACGGUGUGACGCCUGCCCGGUGCCGGAAGGUUAAUUGAUGGGGUUAUCCGUAAGGAGAAGCUCUUGAUCGAAGCCCCGGUAAACGGCGGCCGUAACUAUAACGGUCCUAAGGUAGCGAAAUUCCUUGUCGGGUAAGUUCCGACCUGCACGAAUGGCGUAAUGAUGGCCAGGCUGUCUCCACCCGAGACUCAGUGAAAUUGAACUCGCUGUGAAGAUGCAGUGUACCCGCGGCAAGACGGAAAGACCCCGUGAACCUUUACUAUAGCUUGACACUGAACAUUGAGCCUUGAUGUGUAGGAUAGGUGGGAGGCUUUGAAGCGUGGACGCCAGUCUGCGUGGAGCCAACCUUGAAAUACCACCCUUUAAUGUUUGAUGUUCUAACGUUGGCCCCUUACCGGGGUUGCGGACAGUGUCUGGUGGGUAGUUUGACUGGGGCGGUCUCCUCCCAAAGCGUAACGGAGGAGCACGAAGGUUAGCUAAUCCUGGUCGGACAUCAGGAGGUUAGUGCAAUGGCAUAAGCUAGCUUGACUGCGAGCGUGACGGCGCGAGCAGGUGCGAAAGCAGGUCAUAGUGAUCCGGUGGUUCUGAAUGGAAGGGCCAUCGCUCAACGGAUAAAAGGUACUCCGGGGAUAACAGGCUGAUACCGCCCAAGAGUUCAUAUCGACGGCGGUGUUUGGCACCUCGAUGUCGGCUCAUCACAUCCUGGGGCUGAAGUAGGUCCCAAGGGUAUGGCUGUUCGCCAUUUAAAGUGGUACGCGAGCUGGGUUUAGAACGUCGUGAGACAGUUCGGUCCCUAUCUGCCGUGGGCGCUGGAGAAUUGAGGGGCUGCUCCUAGUACGAGAGGACCGGAGUGGACGCAUCACUGGUGUUCGGGUUGUCAUGCCAAUGGCACUGCCCGGUAGCUAAAUGCGGAAGAGAUAAGUGCUGAAAGCAUCUAAGCACGAAACUUGCCCCGAGAUGAGUUCUCCCUGAGACUUUAAGUCUCCUGAAGGAACGUUGAAGACGACGACGUUGAUAGGCCGGGUGUGUAAGCGCAGCGAUGCGUUGAGCUAACCGGUACUAAUGAACCGUGAGGCUUAACCUUACAACGCCGAAG
rnacentral:rRNA from 1 species